GGUUAAGCGACUAAGCGUACACGGUGGAUGCCCUGGCAGUCAGAGGCGAUGAAGGACGUGCUAAUCUGCGAUAAGCGCCGGUAAGGUGAUAUGAACCGUUAUAACCGGCGAUUUCCGAAUGGGGAAACCCAGUGUGUUUCGACACACUAUCAUUACGUGAAUACAUAGCGUAAUGAAGCGAACCGGGGGAACUGAAACAUCUAAGUACCCCGAGGAAAAGAAAUCAACCGAGAUUCCCCCAGUAGCGGCGAGCGAACGGGGAGGAGCCCAGAGCCUGAAUCAGCAUGUGUGUUAGUGGAAGCGUCUGGAAAGGCGCGCGAUACAGGGUGACAGCCCCGUACACAAAAGCGCAUGUGCUGUGAGCUCGAUGAGUAGGGCGGGACACGUGGUAUCCUGUCUGAAUAUGGGGGGACCAUCCUCCAAGGCUAAAUACUCCUGACUGACCGAUAGUGAACCAGUACCGUGAGGGAAAGGCGAAAAGAACCCCGGCGAGGGGAGUGAAAAAGAACCUGAAACCGUGUACGUACAAGCAGUGGGAGCACAGGUUUACCUGUGUGACUGCGUACCUUUUGUAUAAUGGGUCAGCGACUUAUAUUCUGUAGCAAGGUUAACCGAAUAGGGGAGCCGGAGGGAAACCGAGUCUUAACCGGGCGUUAAGUUGCAGGGUAUAGACCCGAAACCCGGUGAUCUAGCCAUGGGCAGGUUGAAGGUUGGGUAACACUAACUGGAGGACCGAACCGACUAAUGUUGAAAAAUUAGCGGAUGACCUGUGGCUGGGGGUGAAAGGCCAAUCAAACCGGGAGAUAGCUGGUUCUCCCCGAAAGCUAUUUAGGUAGCGCCUCGUGAAUUCAUCUCCGGGGGUAGAGCACUGUUUCGGCUAGGGGGCCAUCCCGGCUUACCAACCCGAUGCAAACUGCGAAUACCGGAGAAUGUUAUCACGGGAGACACACGGCGGGUGCUAACGUCCGUCGUGAAGAGGGAAACAACCCAGACCGCCAGCUAAGGUCCCAAAGUCAUGGUUAAGUGGGAAACGAUGUGGGAAGGCCCAGACAGCCAGGAUGUUGGCUUAGAAGCAGCCAUCAUUUAAAGAAAGCGUAAUAGCUCACUGGUCGAGUCGGCCUGCGCGGAAGAUGUAACGGGGCUAAACCAUGCACCGAAGCUGCGGCAGCGACACUGUGUGUUGUUGGGUAGGGGAGCGUUCUGUAAGCCUGUGAAGGUGGCCUGUGAGGGUUGCUGGAGGUAUCAGAAGUGCGAAUGCUGACAUAAGUAACGAUAAAGCGGGUGAAAAGCCCGCUCGCCGGAAGACCAAGGGUUCCUGUCCAACGUUAAUCGGGGCAGGGUGAGUCGACCCCUAAGGCGAGGCCGAAAGGCGUAGUCGAUGGGAAACGGGUUAAUAUUCCCGUACUUGGUGUUACUGCGAAGGGGGGACGGAGAAGGCUAUGUUGGCCGGGCGACGGUUGUCCCGGUUUAAGCGUGUAGGUGUGUGUUCCAGGUAAAUCCGGUUCACUUUAACACUGAGGCGUGACGACGAGGCACUACGGUGCUGAAGCAACAAAUGCCCUGCUUCCAGGAAAAGCCUCUAAGCAUCAGGUAACAUCAAAUCGUACCCCAAACCGACACAGGUGGUCAGGUAGAGAAUACCAAGGCGCUUGAGAGAACUCGGGUGAAGGAACUAGGCAAAAUGGUGCCGUAACUUCGGGAGAAGGCACGCUGACACGUAGGUGAAGUGAUUUACUCAUGGAGCUGAAGUCAGUCGAAGAUACCAGCUGGCUGCAACUGUUUAUUAAAAACACAGCACUGUGCAAACACGAAAGUGGACGUAUACGGUGUGACGCCUGCCCGGUGCCGGAAGGUUAAUUGAUGGGGUCAGCGCAAGCGAAGCUCCUGAUCGAAGCCCCGGUAAACGGCGGCCGUAACUAUAACGGUCCUAAGGUAGCGAAAUUCCUUGUCGGGUAAGUUCCGACCUGCACGAAUGGCGUAAUGAUGGCCAGGCUGUCUCCACCCGAGACUCAGUGAAAUUGAACUCGCUGUGAAGAUGCAGUGUACCCGCGGCAAGACGGAAAGACCCCGUGAACCUUUACUAUAGCUUGACACUGAACAUUGAGCCUUGAUGUGUAGGAUAGGUGGGAGGCUUUGAAGUGUGGACGCCAGUCUGCAUGGAGCCGACCUUGAAAUACCACCCUUUAAUGUUUGAUGUUCUAACGUGGACCCGUUACCCGGGUUGCGGACAGUGUCUGGUGGGUAGUUUGACUGGGGCGGUCUCCUCCUAAAGAGUAACGGAGGAGCACGAAGGUUGGCUAAUCCUGGUCGGACAUCAGGAGGUUAGUGCAAUGGCAUAAGCCAGCUUGACUGCGAGCGUGACGGCGCGAGCAGGUGCGAAAGCAGGUCAUAGUGAUCCGGUGGUUCUGAAUGGAAGGGCCAUCGCUCAACGGAUAAAAGGUACUCCGGGGAUAACAGGCUGAUACCGCCCAAGAGUUCAUAUCGACGGCGGUGUUUGGCACCUCGAUGUCGGCUCAUCACAUCCUGGGGCUGAAGUAGGUCCCAAGGGUAUGGCUGUUCGCCAUUUAAAGUGGUACGCGAGCUGGGUUUAGAACGUCGUGAGACAGUUCGGUCCCUAUCUGCCGUGGGCGCUGGAGAAUUGAGGGGGGCUGCUCCUAGUACGAGAGGACCGGAGUGGACGCAUCACUGGUGUUCGGGUUGUCAUGCCAAUGGCACUGCCCGGUAGCUAAAUGCGGAAGAGAUAAGUGCUGAAAGCAUCUAAGCACGAAACUUGCCCCGAGAUGAGUUCUCCCUGAGACUUUAAGUCUCCUGAAGGAACGUUGAAGACGACGACGUUGAUAGGCCGGGUGUGUAAGCGCAGCGAUGCGUUGAGCUAACCGGUACUAAUGAACCGUGAGGCUUAACCUU
rnacentral:rRNA from 2 species